GAUGAAGAACGUAGCGAAAUGCGAUAAGUAGUGUGAAUUGCAGAAUUCAGUGAAUCAUCGAAUCUUUGAACGCACAUUGCGCCCCUUGGUAUUCCAUGGGGCAUGCCUGUUCGAGCGUCAUUUAUCAACCCUCAAGCCCGGCUUGCGGUUGGGUCCCGCCGUGGGCGACCACGGCGGACCCGAAAGGUAAUGGCGGUGCCCGUGGGGCCCUGGACGCAGCGAGCUUCUCGGCACGCGUCCCGGCGGUCCCCGGCGCCGUCUCCACCAAUCCACCACGCAGAUUGACCUCGGAUCAGGUAGGGAUACCCGCUGAACUUAAGCAUAUCAAUAAGCGGAGGA
rnacentral:misc_RNA from 1 species